rnacentral:rRNA from 1 species
UUUCGAAGGAGCUAAUACCGCAUACGUCCUACGGAGAAAGCAGGGGACCUUCGGGCCUUGCGCUAUCAGAUGAGCCUAGGUCGGAUUAGCUAGUUGGUGGGGUAAUGGCUCACCAAGGCGACGAUCCGUAACUGGUCUGAGAGGAUGAUCAGUCACACUGGAACUGAGACACGGUCCAGACUCCUACGGGAGGCAGCAGUGGGGAAUAUUGGACAAUGGGCGAAAGCCUGAUCCAGCCAUGCCGCGUGUGUGAAGAAGGCUUCGGAUUGUAAAGCACUUUAAGUUGGGAGGAAGGCCAGUAAGUAAUACCUUGCUGUUUUGACGUUACCGACAGAAUAAGCACCGGCUAACUCUGUGCCAGCGGCCGCGGUAAUACAGAGGGUGCAAGCGUUAAUCGGAAUUACUGGGCGUAAAGCGCGCGUAGGUGGUUUGUUAAGUUGGAUGUGAAAGCCCCGGGCUCAACCUGGGAACUGCUUCCAAAACUGGCAAGCUAGAGUACGGUAGAGGGUGGUGGAAUUUCCUGUGUAGCGGUGAAAUGCGUAGAUAUAGGAAGGAAAGA